rnacentral:rRNA from 1 species
CCGUCUGCGACUGCGGAGGGACAUUACCGAGUUUACAACUCCCAAACCCAAUGUGAACGUUACCAAACUGUUGCCUCGGCGGGAUCUCUGCCCCGGGUGCGUCGCAGCCCCGGACCAAGGCGCCCGCCGGAGGACCAACCAAAACUCUUUUUGUAUACCCCCUCGCGGGUUUUUUAUAAUCUGAGCCUUCUCGGCGCCUCUCGUAGGCGUUUCGAAAAUGAAUCAAAACUUUCAACAACGGAUCUCUUGGUUCUGGCAUCGAUGAAGAACGCAGCGAAAUGCGAUAAGUAAUGUGAAUUGCAGAAUUCAGUGAAUCAUCGAAUCUUUGAACGCACAUUGCGCCCGCCAGUAUUCUGGCGGGCAUGCCUGUCCGAGCGUCAUUUCAACCCUCGAACCCCUCCGGGGGGUCGGCGUUGGGGAUCGGCCCUGCCUUUGGCGGUGGCCGUCUCCGAAAUACAGUGGCGGUCUCGCCGCAGCCUCUCCUGCGCAGUAGUUUGCACACUCGCAUCGGGAGCGCGGCGCGUCCACAGCCGUUAAACACCCAACUUCUGAAAUGUUGACCUCGGAUCAGGUAGGAAUACCCGCUGAACUUAAGCAUAUCAUAACCGAGAGGGAA